GACCCCCCACUCUGUGUCCAGGGAACCCGCCUCUGCGACCCCCAAUGACUCCAACUCUGUGUCCAGGGAACCCGCCUCUGCGACCCCCAAUGACUCCAACUCUGUGUCCAGUGAACCCGCCUCUGCGACCCCCAAUGACUCCAACUCUGUGUCCAGUGAACCCGCCUCUGCGACCCCCAAUGACUCCAACUCUGUGUCCAGGGAACCCGCCUCUGCGACCCCCAAUGACUCCAACUCUGAGAUCAGUGAACCCACCUCUGCGACCCCCAGUGAACCCAAUAUUCCAAAUGUGUUCUACAGGCCAAUAAAAAGAAAGCAGAGACAAACACUUAAUGAAUGCUCACAUAACAGCCAGGAUGUGUACCAUGGAGAGGUUGUGAGGGAGAGAGUUAGGGAGGGAAGAAAAGAAUAUCUUUUUCGUUGGCAGCCUUGCACAUCCUGUGGCAAGAAGUGGAGGAGUACAUGGGUGUCCGAGGAUGCUGUACAGUAGUUAUUAAAAUAUUUGUGUCUGUUUAAAAUUAUACUCAUUUGACUUGUCAAUACCAUGAAAUAAAAAGAAAGUAUGUGUACUAA